GGAAGAUGUGGAUCAGUGCACCAACCAGGUUUCUCCUCUGUCUCCUUGUGAACUUCACUGUCACCUCUUCUUUUAGUCAUCUGCCACGUUAACCCUUGAUUUGGUUCCAAACCAGGUUGCGAGAUCUCUAAGCCAUGUUUUCUCACAAGUUUUAUGUAUUCUUCUGCGUUAAAAUGCUCUACUCCAAGAUCCUCGUCCCACA
rnacentral:misc_RNA from 1 species